rnacentral:rRNA from 1 species
AUUGAACGCUGGCGGCAUGCUUUACACAUGCAAGUCGAACGGUAACAGGCCUUCGGGUGCUGCCGAGUGGCGAACGGGUGCGUAAUGCAUCGGAACGUACCCAGAGGUGGGGGAUAACGCAGCGAAAGCUGUGCUAAUACCGCAUGUGAUCUGAGGCUGACAGCGGGGGACCGAGCAGCAAUGUUUGGCCUCGCGCCUUUGGAGCGGCCGAUGUCGGAUUAGCUAGUUGGUGGGGUAAAGGCCUACCAAGGCGACGAUCCGUAGCUGGUCUGAGAGGACGAUCAGCCACACUGGGACUGAGACACGGCCCAGACUCCUACGGGAGGCAGCAGUGGGGAAUUUUGGACAAUGGGCGCAAGCCUGAUCCAGCAAUGCCGCGUGCGUGAAGAAGGCCUUCGGGUUGUAAACCGCUUUUGUCAGGAACGAAACGGUGUCCGCUAAUACCGGGCGGUAAUGACGGUACCUGCAGAAUAAGCACCGGCUAACUACGUG